AACCCGAAGANCGAAUGAAAAGACUCAACGUCUGCGUUGUUGGCUUCCUUGUGGUUUGCGAUGUUUUUGNCAUUUCUUGUGUCAAAUUCACACUGCCGCUGAGGUAUGUCUGACUACGCCGGCGUGCACUUCUUUUCUAGUAGAACGUCGCGACCCGCUGUGUGUCGGUUUUAAGGGCUAAGAUUGUUGACUGUUCCGCGUCGUUUCACGGCGUACGGUUGCAGGCGCUUGGUUCCCGACCGGUUGCACGGCGGUAUGCACAAGGUAUUGAGCCGCACAUUGAAUGCGUUCAGACUCGUUGCAAGCUUGAUCGUUUUUACCUGGAUGUUCGGACCUGGUGCCGUCCCCGGGAGCGGUUGGCUGUUGGCAAACGAUGUUCUCGAACUGGUUAAAUUUUUNAAAUUUAGACAAUACCGGUCGGCGACGCUAUUGCUUUGGGUACUUUCAGGACCCGUCUUGAAACACGGACCAAGGAGUCUAACAUGUGCGCGAGUCAUUGGGAUAUUAAAACCUAAAGGCGCAUUGAAAGAGAAGAUCGGCCUUGUGUCGAUUGAGGGAGGAUAAGUAAUGUUUAGAUGUUGCUUCGCACUCCCGGGGCGUCUCGUUGUCAUUGCGNCUUGAGGCGCACCCAGAGCGUACACGUUGGGACCCGAAAGAUGGUGGACUAUGCCUGGUCAGGAUGNGGUCAGGGGAGGCCCUGAGGAGGUCCGUUGCGAUUCU
rnacentral:rRNA from 1 species